rnacentral:misc_RNA from 1 species
ACCCAGUCUCUGAUCGCCGAAUGAGACUUGACUUGUUUGAGCGGCGUAGCGUGGAUUUUCGGAGAUGCUGAAAACCUGGUGAAUGCGGACGUAUAAGGCAUAGAGAUAAAGCGUCGACGCGUAUGCAAGCUCUCUUACGAGCUUAGUGUCGUCAUUGGUGUUUCGUAUUUUUUUUUUCAAUUUCAUUUAGUGAAAGCAAACCGGUUUUAUCGCGAGUAAACUUUGGGCAAGUUUGGAUUUAGGGGACGGGCGCUCCGUCCGAUGGUCUCGCAAUAUUCUUGCUUAUUGUUGGUGAAAGUAAAUAAAAGAACAAUAAUAUAUACUUAUCAAAAUGUCAGAUCGUUUAAAAUACGAGGAAGAUUUGAGUAUCGCACGGCUCGUUGACUAUCUUGUGGUCGUGAAAACAUGACGAGAAUUCUUAUGGUGUUUGAAAUAAUCAAAGAAAAGAUAUACGGAGGAACGUUGCAAAAUAUGCUAGACGAUCGUCCCGUCUCUCGUAGAUUAACCUCAAUUCACCUUGGCGAAUUUCUAAAACCACGAGAACUCGAAGAGCAAUCGCUACGAGACUCUAGGGAUAUUGGGACUUGGAUUAUUCAUUUUUACCGAGCCUAUUCCGUAUAUUUAUUGAAUAUUAUCCUGUAACUUACCUGUAUAUGUAUAAAUACGCGCAAUACAUACAACCUGUAAACAAGUGUUUGAGAGACUAUUUAAUUAAUCAUUGUUCAUAUUGUAUAUUUAAAUUCGAACAUUAAACAUGAUGACUACUGCGGUACAAGACUGGAAUAAUGCCUGUAGACUUUGUUCGGAGGAGCAACCGGAAAUGUUAUCGAUAUUUGGUGACGAAGGUGUGCAAAGAAAAGUCACCCAAAAGAUGAGAGCCUGCUUUCCCAUAAUGGUAUACAAAAGUGAUCCGUUACCAAAACAGAUAUGCCAAUUUUGUGCAGCCAGAUUAGACGACGCUUACGAAUUCAGAGAACGUUGUCUCGGCGUCUACAAGUCUAUGCAUAUACAACUUCUAGCCUUAAAGGAUUCUGAAACUGUAAAAAUAUUUUUGGAUGCCAUGAAGAAUUCUCCUGAUCCUUGCCAGGCCCAGCUUUGCAAAGAAAAAGCACGCGCUCCGCCACCGUUGGUUCCUUUAUCUGCUUCACUAUCAGUUGAGAAGUCGUCUGUUUCCAUUGGCAUGCAAAAGACAGAUCAGUCCAAUGCAGCCAAUGAAGCUUUGGUAGAACUUCCUUGCGAAGUGCAGAUUAAAGAGGAGCCCUUAGAUAACUCUGACGGGAACGGGCCGAUCUUAGGUACCGCGAUUAUGACGGCGGAAGAAUUGUUGAAUUCGGUUUGCAAUGAUCGAAUGGAAAUUUCUCAUGAAGAGGAUUACAGCUCAAGGGGUACAAACGGAGCGGAAAACAGAAAAACAUUCGGUAAUGAAUCGAAUGUUGGAAUUACUAGUAGGCCAGGGAAUGGAAGCACUAGCAUUCUAGAACAAGUAUUAACUGGAAGCUUGACGAUAAACGACCGAAUAGGGACGAAACCAAAAUUUAAACCAAGUUCUAAAUGGUGGUGUUCGCCGUGCAACAGAUACUACAGAACAAAAGAGAGUUUACGUAAGCACAUGCGGCUCUUCUGUCCGCGUAGAUAUAGGUGCAAAAAAUGUUCGAGCAUGUUUCAAUCUGUGGAAGAACUUGCAAAACAUGAAGGUUUGCAUCAUCUCAAAGUUACUCUGAACUUUGAUGAAUGUGUCAAUGAGUGCGAUCAGUGCGAUCGCGAAUUUGUUAGCUGGGAAAUACUCAGGCAUCACAGACAACGAGAUCAUCAGUUAGUUCCUGAAUUGGCGACUGCAUCAAACACUUGGUGUUCUCUCUGCAAUCGUUUUUUUCCAACAAUGAAUUCAUACCAAAAUCAUAAGCAACUGCAUCAGCCAGAAACGGCAAAUGUGACGCCUGUACGUGGAGAAACAUUAUUCAAACACAAUCCUUUUGCAGAAAAUAUCAAGUCACUCAUGUGUCCUACUUGUGGAAAGGUGUGUACGCAGCAGAGUGCAUUAUCAAACCAUAUGCGAACUCACGAACCAAAAAAACACAAAUGUGAAAUUUGUGGCCGCUCAUUUGGACUGUUUAUUCGAUUAGCGGCACACAGGUUAAGCGAGCAUAAUCAGCAGCCUGUUAUGUCUCCUGUUAAUGCUAGUGUUGAACAAGAGGAAGCAUUGAAUGAGGAGAGAGAAGCGCGUGAAGCCAGUGAAGCGAUAACUGGUAUAAGCAAUAGAAGCUACAUUAAGGAGUCUGACGAAGAAGAUGUGUCUAUGGAUGGUUCGGCUCAUGCAAGUAAAGACAUCAACAUGAGCACAUCAAAGAACGUGGCCCGUUGCGGUAUUUGUUUGCAGUGGUUUAACGAUCACACGACAAUGCUGACUCAUUUGCAAACACAUUCCGAGAGCUAUGUAUAUAAGAGCUUCAGCUGUAAAGUUUGUAAAAAAACGUUCAAAGAGAAAUGGCAGCUUCUUCGCCAUGAGAUCUCUCAUAAACGAGCAGCAAGCACAGCUAAAUACGCGUGUUCCACGUGUAAAAAAAUUUUCAAAGACAAGGCGCAACAAAAGGCACAUGAAGCAACACAUGUUGUUGAUAAAACUUACCAUUGUCCACGAUGUAACAAGAUAUUCUUCAAAGAGAUUUCCCUGCUCGCACAUCAGUGUAGUGGAGGGAAACCUGUAUUCGGUAAGCGUGGUGGUGCGACAAAGGCUUCAUCCAAGUCAUCACAGCAACCAUUCAACACACACAAGAAGUAUAACUGUUCAAAAUGCAAUGCAACUUUCAACAAUUCUCAGUCAAGAAAUUCUCACAUGAGAGUACACACCCAGGCACAUGCAAUGGUGGCUCCAGGUACGAAAAAAAGAAUUGAAAAAGGAAUUGGAAAUGUCAAAAGCUAUGCCAAACCUUACGCCGGAACAUAUGUCACCAGGUACUUCGGUUCCAAUGCAGAUUGAGCCUAAAAUUGAAUUGAAAAUUGAGGAUUCACCAAAUGCUCCUCCUGCUCUCAAACGUACACUAAUAAGGACUGCUGGAGGGUAUCGUUGCGGUGUAUGUCAGUCACCAUUUGUCUUGCGAGAACUCGCAGUGGCACAUUUGAGAUCAGCCCAUCCUGCUGCAACAUUUCAAUGUCGUCAUUGCAAGAAGCAGUUUUCUACGCGAUAUACUUUGUCCCGUCAU